rnacentral:lncRNA from 1 species
GACAUAAAAGAAUAAUAAGAAAUUUUAUUAUUGAUGGAUAUGAUCAUCAUGUACAUGUGACUCCCCUAGAUAAUAAAUAUGUCCACGAGCUAUAAUCCAAGAGUCAUGUGUAAUCACCCAAAUAAUAAUAACAAUCAAACAAAUGAUCCCACUACAAAUCAAAUAAACAAACCACAAACAAAUAUAACCAAAAAUAGAAGAGAAAAUUAAACAAGGAGUAAAAUGACCACUAAGCCCCCAACAAAAGGACAAAACAAUCCCUCAUCCAAAAACAGAUCUACGCCGUCCACGUGGAGGAUCUAAACCAAAGCCACCGCCACAAGCACCGCCGCGAGAGCGGCGCCGCCAAAGGUAGCCCUGCUGACGAAGCCGCUGCUGCCGUCGGCGGGCGGUUGGUCGGCAGAUGGGCCGGCGGUGGGGCCGGCGGGGCUGGGUGAGGCUGGUGCGGGGGUGCCCGGGGCGGGGGCGGGGGACUCUCCCCCGGCGGUGGGGCCGGCCGCCGGUCCUGGGGUGGGGGCGGGGGUCGCUGGAGCCGGGGAAGGAGUGGCGGUGGGCGGCGCCAUCGGUGCUGCGGUGGGGGAGACCGUUGGUGCGCCUGCCGGUGAUUGGGCCAUGCAUGAAGUGGCCAACAGUGCCAUCACUAGGAAAAGCUUGAACCCUGUUGAUGAAGCCAUUGCUGUUUGCUACUUGCUAGAGAGAGAAAGAGUGUUUUAGAGAGAGAGAUUAUGUGAAGUUUGAAGAUGGACAAAGGCAUAUUGUAAAGUGAAGAUAUAUAUAAAAAGGAGGGAGAGAGAUUAGUGGGAAAAUAAUGAUGAGAUUCCGUGAAGAGGUAUUAAAUAAUUAAGUUUGGACAGGCAUUGCAUGUGUAGUGUAGCUCUGUUUCCACUCUGUGAAAUUAAUGACCAGAAGUCUUCUUCUUUUUUAUUUUUUAUUGGUUGUAUAUAAUGUAAUUUAAAUUAGUGUUUGUUAAGAUGUUUGCAUGUUAG